rnacentral:rRNA from 1 species
AUUGAACGCUGGCGGAAUGCUUUACACAUGCAAGUCGAGCGGCAGCGCGGCCUUCGGGCUGGCGGCGAGCGGCGAACGGGUGAAUAAUGCAUCGGAACAUGCCCAGUCGUGGGGGAUAACACUUCGAAAGAAGUGCUAAUACCGCAUACGUCCUGAGGGGGAAAGCGGGGGAUCGCAAGACCUCGCGCGAUUGGAGUGGCCGAUGUCAGAUUAGCUAGUUGGUGGGGUAAAGGCCUACCAAGGCGACGAUCUGUAGCUGGUCUGAGAGGAUGAUCAGCCACACUGGGACUGAGACACGGCCCAGACUCCUACGGGAGGCAGCAGUGGGGAAUUUUGGACAAUGGGGGCAACCCUGAUCCAGCCAUUCCGCGUGAGUGAAGAAGGCCUUCGGGUUGUAAAGCUCUUUCGGCAGGAACGAAACGGUGGGCUCUAACAUAGUCCGCUAAUGACGGUACCUGAAGAAGAAGCACCGGCUAACUACGUG